CGCCAAUCAGCGGAAGCCGCCGGGGCCGCCUAGAGAAGAGGCUGUGCUUCGGCGCUCCGGCUCCUCAGAGAGCCUCGGCUAGGUGUGGAAACAGGAAGAGAACUAGAACUGGAAGUAAAGCAUUGAAGAUGUGACUGAAUUGCUGCAAUCUCAUGAUCAAAUUUGAAUGGAUGAGGAGUUGCUUUUUAGGGAUGAGCAAAGAAAGUGGUUUCUCGAGAUGGAAUCUACUGGUGAAGUUGCUGUGAACAUUGUUAAAAUGCCAAUAAAGGAUUUAGGAAUUACAGAAACCUGGUUGAUAAAGCAGUGCCAGGGUGUGAGAGAGUUGACUUCAAUUUUGAAAUAAGUUCCACUGGCUGGGUGUGGUGGCUCACACCUGCAAUCCCAGUACUUUAGGAGGCCGAGACUGGUAGAUCAUUUGAGGUCAGGAGUUCAAGACCAGCCUUGCCAACAUGGUGAAACCCCACCUCUACCAAAUUAGCCAGGUUGCUCCUUGAGGGCAGGACAGUUCUUAUGGCUUUAUCCGUUGCGUAAGCACAGAGAGGUCUGCGAGGUCAAAACUAUUGUCAUGAUAGCAAGAUGCCUGUCUUUUUCAUUUAUUCUCACGGUGUGCAGAGGCUACAUGAUGUGUGAUGACAUCCUCAUUGAUGUUAAUGAAUGGUGCUAUACUUGAAUUUUCUAAGGUGUCAUUAGCAAUUCUCCUGCCUCAGCCUCCUGCAUAACUGGGACUACAGGGAAGCACCAUUUUCCACAAAACUCUCAAGAAGGACUUGUUGCAACUGGAAAAGCAAUUAAAUGUGAAUCGUGAUCCAGGAGAAAGUAACAACUCACAUAACUCCCAAAUUAAAAGUUUUCCAAAGAUAUAUCAUUUUUUUUCUCUUGGCCUUUUAAGAAACUAGCCAACAAAUACUCUUGACAGGUUUGUGUUUGGUUUUGAAAACACACACCUUAGUGUACUGAAAGAAAAACAAUUUCUUUUAAUUUGGUUUGUUGGUCCCACACCCCAUCUAUCAAUGUAUGUGCUAUUUACAAAUAAGUUCUAUACAGUAUUUUUGCAGUACCUUUGAUAAUUCCUAGACCUCUAUUUUCAUUCUGUGUAUUAAUGUGAAUAACAGAUGGAUAUUUUAAUAUUUAAGGCAGAUGGUAAACUUUCCUAUAGGUCUUGUGAGACUUCGUCUUAUAGGCUGAACACCAUUCACAAAAUGUAAUAAUGCUUCAUUCCUUCAGGUUGAGGUAAAGAACUUGAGCAACUGGAUUAGCAAAGCUGCAAAGAAUGAAAUGUGGCCUAAGAUGUAAUUAUGUUCUCUGCCCUUCCUUUGGGCCAGGGUAGUUUUGCACUUGACACAAUGGAAAAUAGGCCAUAAAGCCUGAAAAUAAAAUGUUCUAAACCCCAA
rnacentral:lncRNA from 10 species